rnacentral:lncRNA from 1 species
ACUUGGAGGGGAUGCUGGCGGCGUUGCCGGCGUUGAGGCCGCUGACACGUCCGGCGGCGCUCUUGAGGCAGUUGCAGGCGGUGCGCUUGUCGGCGGUGCUGCUGGCGGCGGAGUUGAGGCUCCUGACGCCGCUGCAGCAGGCCGCGGAGGGUGCGGUGCCGGUGCCGCGGGCGUAGGCGAGGCAGGGGCUAAUCGCGGAGUUCACCUGCCCGCAGGUGACGGCGGCCUCCGACGUCGUCGUCGCCGCUGCCAGCAGCACCGCGGCCACGACGACGGCGAUCAUCGCCACAGCAAACUGCAUGCUGCGUGCCAUGUCGAUCGAUCGAGCUAUUCGUGUGUGCUGAGUGAUCUGAGUGCCUGACUGUGUGCUAGUAUGCUAGCUUUGGAAUGCAGUGAGAGCAAGUGCUAGCUGGUGAGGAGAAUAUGCAGUGAAAUGUUGGUCCUUAAAUAGGCUUGAGAUCGAUCUGAGAGCUACAAUGGCUGAUGACAGAUGUCAUGCAUGGUGUGUGCAUGCUGUUUCUUUCGGUAGAACAUCAUCAUCGUACAGUUAAGAGCCGGGCAGGAGGAGGUGGUUGGGUGUUGGGGGCAGGAGGCAGAUGGAGGAUGUGGAUGGAAAUACACAUAUGCAGUGGUUAGUGGAUGCAGAGUGAAUUCAUCAUCAGCAGCAGCAGCAGCAGCAAACUUAAUAAAUAGCAGCCGCCUAACACGACUUAAUAAUAAAUUAAACAGUUAAGCGUCAUUUAAUCUCAUCACCCGCCUCACUGAUUAAUCGAAUGAGGCCUUGUUUAGUUCACCCCAAAAUCCAAAAAUUUUUCAAGAUUCACUGUCACAUCGAAUCUUGGGGCACAUGCAUGGAGCACUAAAUAUAAACAAAAAUAAAAACUAAUUGCACAGUUUAUCUGUAAAUCACGAGAUGAAUCUUUUAAGCCUAGUUACUCUAUAAUUGGACAAUGUUUGUCAAAUAAAAACGAAAAUGCUACAGUUCCAAAAACCAAAAUGUUUUCGGAACUAAACAAUAUAUAGCCUCCCACAGGCUCACAAAAUCUGAGAACUCACCUAUAUGUGGCCAAUUCAUCUAACAUAGCCUUUUGGACCGUGUAUUUUUUCCUUCGAGUCUUUUGAUGUAACAGCGGUUCAAUUGCCUUGACCGAUGUUCCAUUGAUCCAAUUCGAUGUCACGAAAGAGGCUAUAUUUUUUACAUUGCCUGUGGUGACUAUAUAUAGUUAAUGAAUUGAAGAGCUUGUGAUCAGAUUUGUCACAAGGAAUCUCCGUAUUGCUCCACGCUCUUUCCUUUUGUUUCUACUUAAACCAUAGCCGUCAUCUCAAUUGGACAAUCCCUUCGCCUUGGGAAGGGCGUGGUGGUGGACUAGUUGAUCAACGAAUGUCCUCCAAUGAUGUUCUCAAGUGGUAUUUCUCCUCGCCAAAGAAAAUUACGCCACAUCCUGUCUAUUCUUUUGAGCCUGGAACACUAUCAAAUGGUAUAUUAUUGGCAGCGUCAUUAGAAUCAUUUCUGUACUGGUGUUUCUCUAUUAGAUGUUGGCAGGAAUUUUCCUUUCCACCCCGGGAGCCUGGCACCAAAAUCUUUUCUAUCAGUGGCUAGACCUCCCUCCUUUCUUAAUUUCCGGGUAUAUGUAAUUGAAGCCCUAAAUAUUUUCCCUGGGAAGUUGUGGAUGAGCGAAGGGACCAUGUUAGGUUGGAGCCAUAUUGGAAAAAAAAAAUAGUCUUGGACAUGUUAAUUUUUAGCCCUGAACAAUUUCCAAAGAAAUGUAGGAAUUUUGUAAGCUGCUCAACUGCUCUGAAGAUGGGUUUGCAAACAAACCCACAUUUUAUUUGUGUAGAGAGAGCACCACAAGUUUGCUGCUUCCGGUACAACCAGUUGUAGGAUAUCCUGUUGUGCCGCUCAUAUUCAAUGAUUUGUUGGUAGCGGGUCUACUGCUAACAUGCAUGAAAAGUAGGGGCCGGGAAAGCGGAUUGCUUUGCCUCAAUCCUCUUGCAUGUUUGAUGUUUUGACUCGAUCAUCUAUUUAUGAGAAUUUUGGAUGAGAAGGACCCUAAGUUUCUUUGAUAUCCAAUUAGGUCAUUUUGUGCUAAAACCAAGCGCAGUUAGAAAUUCCAGAAGGUGUGCCAUUCUAUGGAGUCGAAAGCUUUGGAGAUGUCCAGUUUUAUAAAUAGAUCGAGUGAGCUGAUUUUUUUCUGUAGAAGUUGAAUACUCUUUGUACAUAAAGAAAAUUGCCCCUUUUAUUGAUGAAUGCAUUUUGAGCAUGUGAAACCAACUCAUUCAUAUAUGGAGCUAGUCUAUUUGCAAAGAUUUUCGUAAUGAUUUUUAUGAGGCUGUUAAUUAGGCUAAUCAGUCUCUAUACUCAAACAUUGUUUGUGCUUCCUACUUCUUAGGGAGUAGAACUAUACUUGCUUCAUUAAACAACUGCAUUUUUGCAGUCCUAUGGUUGUCGUUCUUGAUUAUAUCCCAACUCUUCUUAUAGAAGAUCCCGAUAAGACCAACUAGUCCUGGGGCUUUCUACGACGGAAGCUCCUUGAUUAUGGUAAGUAGCUCCUGCUCUGUAAAUGGCAUGUCUAGUUCAUCAAGGUUAUGUGGAGAGUAACCCAACGUCUCCCAAUUGAUUGACUAUAUGUUCUUGUAGCUCUUGUUCCCUGGCUUUGGCGAAGAACUCAACAGGGGACCUCUGUUCCCACGUUGGGAAAUUGCGACCCUCUCCUCAAUGUGAAUUGUGCUUAUAUAUUUUUCCUUCGUCUAGCGUUUGCAUGUAGUUGGGAAAAAUGAGUAUUAGUAUCAUCAUUCCAUAUUUAGCUAGGUCAGUCAAAAGUGUUGUCUCGCCUUUGCUUUCUGUAUUGCGAUUAGACCCAUUGAUUUUGCCUUAAGAUAUUUCUUGAAUUCCACUUCUUCUAUUGUCAGGGGACGUCUUUUCUGUGCCUUCUCUAGCUCUCUAUAGGAUGAUGUGAAGGACGUCAUUCCCUAGUUUCCAUUCAGUAAACAGUGUAUGCUUCCAUACUUUUAACGCUCUUGCCAUGCGGAGGAGCUUGGUGUUUACUGUCUGUUCCCAUGUUGAACCAUCUAUAUAAACCCCAGCAUAUUUACCCAAUAGUAAAAAUGGAAACCAUGGCAAAAUUCAAAAGUAAUAUCCUCUACAAGAGCAAAAGACCAUGGUCCCAUUAUUUUGCUAUGUGAGCCCACUCCUCUUAUUUUUCACCUUUAUUUUGAUUAUGCUACUCAAGUGUUGUAUCUGACUUUUAUUUUUUGACUUGGCUUACUCCUCUUAAGAUGUCAUUUGUUCCAAAUCCUUAAUGUUGGAAGUGGUUAGAAUUCCUCUAGUAGCGGAGGUCAGUCGAGCCUACUCGCUCGCUGCAGCGAGAGGCUUGAGUGUGCUAACAAUCAAGGAAGAGAGAGCUCGAAACCCUAGAACAGUAGUGUUUCAGUAAAUUGGUUUCAACUAACUCUUGAAAGAGCAUUUAUAACCCCUUUAUAUAGGGUGCGGAUCCCAACCGAGAUCCGUUACAGCAAUGCCCCAUGACGGUGGCGGGAUAUUCCAGCAUAUUUCGCCACUACAAUCUAUAACCCACAGGGCUACUUGAGUAAUUUCGAACUGCAAGCUCUUUGCAGGCUGUCGCGUCGGAGUCCUGGUCCUAUCGUAGCUCGAUCCUUCUCCUAUCCUUCGUCGAGGCUCAUAGAUCCUCCGCCUUGCGGCCGACGAGGGAUCUUUGUCCGCCACUCAGAGGUUCUUCGGCUUGGUCGGGGUCAGCACGUCCUUCAUCACGCAAGGGCUGAAGGAUGGGCCCUUACCCCCUGUGAUUCUCCGCUCCAGGUUGGUUCCUGCACACAUGUCUCACCAAACCGAUCUGCAUCAGCAUUAAAUUUUUCCGAACCUUCGUCCCUUAUCGUCCGAAGGUUGGGGGCAUGAAGGUUCGGUCAUCGCGAUCGAGUUACAUCUUUUCUCUCCGAUGCAGCUAGGGGGUGAAGGCGUGGUUGAGUUCUCAAUACUUAAAUAUAUAAUUUGUCCAUACACAAAUUUCAAGUCGUUUUGGACAUGAUUUAGGAUGCCAAGAAGUGAUUAAUCAGAUGUAUUUUUUCUUAUCAGCACCUAUUAUUAAAUAGAGUUCGGGUUUCUCCAUAGAUCAACCACUCGUCGCUAUACUGGCAAGCAGUGUGAAGCCCAAGGUGUUAGGUCUUAGGUUUAAUCCCUUGCUUUCAGUUCUUUUUUAAUUGGUGGUCGUUUUUUUCCAUAGCCUGCAUGGCUAAGCGAUACAAUUGGCUCUUCGACGUUCGAGUGUGUGUGAAGUGAGAGGAGCCAUGAUUUACUUAUGAAUGCACAUGGCGUGAGAGGAGGCACGAGUUACUUUCCUCUUCAAGACUGAGACUGAGCGACUGGACACGGGAGACGAAGGACCGGGGGGUGAUUAACUUUGUUCAAAAUGUUGUUAAAGAUGCAAAAAGACUUCAAUUGUGAACACCCCACUCACCAUCCAAAACUACUUUAAUUUGAAAUAUGAAGGGAGUCUUCACAAAGUUGUGAAUAUAAGUUAUGUUCCGUAAAAUAUUAUGAUAAAAGUUGUGUGUGUAACUUGGUACGUUUGAUUGAGUGCAGCGUGAUCUAUUUUUCUCUUCGAGAGUGGUUGACUCGACAUGGGAGACGAAGGACAACCAGGGUGGAUUCAUGCAAAAUGACUUCAAUUGUGAACACCCCAAUCACCCUCCAAAACAACUUCAGUUUUGAGUACGGAGGGAGUAUCAUUAUUCCUGUUAUGUAAGCCCACUUUUAGGUCCAGAUUAAUUAGCUUUACUGCAUAUAUGUAAAUAUGUCAAAUAUAUACUUUUUGAAAUAAACUAUAUUCAAAACAAAUCUACCCACAUCAUCACUUCCAUACAUUCAAACUAAACAUGUAAACAUCAUUCAAUAGUCAAGAGGUUUCGAGAUGAUUGACGUAAGACAACCUGAAAAUGUCGAUUUAAUAAAAAAAUCAAAGCAUUUGUCGUCAAAGUAAUUUUUGAAAUGAUUGACCCACAUCAUCACUUUAAUACAUUCAAACUAAACAUGUAGUGUUAAUAAUUAUACAUCUUCUGCUACCUACCAAUAAGCCCCUCACGCAGCACACGGCUCCGUUUUCUAGUUUUUGUCUUGUAUUCGUUCAUCAGAUGAAUUCUGUAUUUGAAGAGCAGUGCGUGUCGCCACCUCAUGAAAAAAGCGUGCCAGCUAGGUACUUGUUUUAAUUUCCACCGUGUGAGUAUUUUUUUUGAAGUGGUGAGUUAAUUAAAUGAAACCAUUUAAUUUUUCGAAUCACAAAGUCUGCAACCCAGUUUUGCAACCAUAUAGCGAAUGAAGCAUAAUCGAAAAGUCAUGGAACACAGUCACAUCACAUGCAUGGCCCACAUGCAUGCAUAACGACAAUUUGUAAACAAAAAGAUGUGAGUGCAUCAUAAGGUAGCAGUGAUCGAACAAAAUACGUGUCCUCCAAAACCGUACGGAGAACGGAUCGGAGGAAGUAUGUUUUUGACGAUGGUAAAGUUUAUUUUGCGUAUAUGCUUUCACUUUUUCAUCCAUUAGAAGUGUGCAAACACACAUCUCAAUGUGUGAAACUGCUUUAAGAUAUGUGUUUACACACUUCUCAAAGCGAGUCCAAUAGAUGGGAGAGUGAGAGUAUAUGCCCUCAAGGACAAAAAAAAACAAAAAAAACUUUUGACGAUAAGAUGUAGUGCCCGUUUUUCAUUAAGUGGAAAUGAUCGUAGAAAGUACACGGAAACAACAAGCCAAAGGACAUCUCUCUCACACACACGUACGACACGGACGUACAUACGGAGAGAUUUUUUAUUCAGUAUACGACGUAGCAGUAUAUAUAGUAGACAACUCAUCAUCACCCGUAGAUAGAUAGAGACUCAAGCAUGGUCGUCGUCGAUGCUCCGGCGCCGACGACGGCGGCGGAAUGGAUCAUCGAUCGACGAUCAUCAGGUCGUCGUUUCGGUUUAGCUCACCCUGGAGCAGUCGGUGGAGGUGCUGAUGGUGUAGGGGAUGCUGACGCCGCACUUGGAGGGGAUGCUGGCGGCCUUGCCGACGUUGAGGCCGCGGAUGCCACGGGCGGCGUUCUUGAGGCAGUUGCAGGCGGCGCGCCUGUCGGCGGUGGUGCGGGCGGCGGAGUUGAGGCUCCUGACGCCGCUGCAGCAGCCUGCGGAGGGUCCAGAGCCCUGGCCGCGGGCGUAGGACAGGCAGGGCCCGAUGGCGGAGCUCACCUGACCGCAUGUCACGGCGGCCUCCGAGGUCGUCGCCGCCAGCACCACCGCCGCCACGACGGCGAUCGCCACAGCAAGCUUCAUGCUGCGAGCCAUGUCGAUCUCGAUCGACCUCCUGUGAUAUAUGUGCUGAUGCUCGUAGGUGACUGAUAGCUUUUGGGAUGCAGUGAGUGAGCAAGUGCUAGCUGGUGAGGAGAUUGCAAUGGAAUGUUGCUCCUUAAAUAGGCAGGCUUUGUGAUCGAUGUGUGAGCUAGCUAGCGAUUGCUGAUGAGUGAUGUGCAUGCAUGGGAUGGGUGUGCAUGCUGUUUCAGUCGGUGGAUGCAUGCAUAUGCGUAUAUGUCCAUGGAUCGAUGGUAUCUCUCGCCAUGCAUCGAAGUUAACUGCUGGGGAGGAGGUGGUUGGGUGUUGAGGGAGGAGGGCAGAUGCUUGUUUAGUUGUUGUAAUACCCGAUUUUAAGGACAAAACCAGAUAUGCACCAUAUGUGAGUUUUAAAAGCCAAAUCUCACAUAUAGCUACAAAUAAGGGGUAAUAUCAAAAGACAAUGCAAAAAUUAUAUAACGUACAUAAUAUAAAAGAGAUAACCUUUGAUAGCAAACAACGGAUAGACAACUCCAAACUCCGGGUAUUAACUUCUCUCUACAGGAUCCAACUGACUGGUUGAUCACAAGCCUAAACUUCUCCUGAGGUUUGGGGGAAAUAGCAAGAGUGAGUCCAUGUCAAACUCCACAAGUAUAGCAACUAGAUUGUAUAGCUCCCACAAUCUCAUGAUCAAUGUGACAUAAAUAAUGUAAAGCAUUAAACAAUAAGCAAUGAGCAUAUUUAACACACAAGAUUCAUCACCCUUAAUGUAGAUGUCCCCAAGGCCGUUCCUGACCGUGAGCUCGGCUAGUAUACUAGUUUUAACACUCUGCAGAGGUUGCACAUCUUUACCCAUGAGUCAUGAUUUACCCUUUCGCCCGAGGUGAUCAGCCUCUUAACCCACUUCCAAGGAAGGUCGGCAGGGAUCACUAUGAAGCCUUUCAAAAGUUCGUCUAACAUGUUAGGGCCGCAAGGUUUCCUUUGCGAGCAGAUAUAGAUACCCCCCUUCCGAAUGGCACAAUGACGCGCAGCCUAUACACAUAGGGACAGGGGCUCGCACUAUACCCGUGUCGGUUCAGCCCCUCCGCCCUUUCGGGUAACCUCUAACAAGCUAGAAAAGGUCUUCAUACUGAGCUAAAGCCAGAGCCAUUAUAGCCCUCAUGGUUGCACUGUUAUCCCGGGUGAUCACGUACAGACAAAUCAUCAAGUUGUUAAAAAGUCAUUUUUACCAUUUAUUACUUAACAUUAAUCUAGUCACAGGAUCAUGGUCACAGAAAUAAAAUCCAAAUGCUAUACUUGCCUCAAUCCAAUUGCUCUUGCUUAUCCUUUUGGUCCUGCUGGUCUCACUUGUUGCCAAAGCUUUGAUCUUGAUCACCGAAACUGCUCUCCGUCUAAACUCGAUCAUCGAUCAUCAACACACAAACAAUCGGACACAACAUACACGUAGCAAACAAGGCUAUAAUUAGAACAGUACACCAAUCAUAUAAAAACAAUAUGAAAAAUUUGUAAAAUAAUUCUACGCAUCGCUACGAUCUCACAGACGUAAAGAUGACGAAAAUCGGAGUUAAAACGGAAAAGAUAUGGAUUUUCUAAGAUUUUAUAUAGAAAAGUAAUUAAUUAAUUAAGGUCACGAAAUUAAAAGGUUUCAAACUGAGUGAACAAUAUUACUAACAUGUAGUGCUCGUGAUUACGAACCUAACACAAUUUCAAUGGACAAAACGGAGUUAAAACAGAGAUGAUAUGGCCUAAAUAAACUAGCGUAUUUUCUUUGUAUUUUUAGGUUUGUUUUUCUAAAGGAAAACGGCAAUAAAACAUGUCUAUGUUAUAACGACGUCAUCAAGCUAGCCAGCAACGUUUAUUCGCAGAUAUAUGUUAGACAUGUACAUCCCUAGAUCGAUUGCUGCGCAGAUAGAAACAUCGCCGGGCGAAACAAAUCAGUGCAUGCACUUGUAGAGGCUUUGUGAAAUUUCUCACACAGGAAUCGACAUAUUAAAGAUGCAAAGUUACCUCUUAUGGUGAUUAUAAGAUUCAAUAGGACAUGCUUGCCGAACGAUGGGUCAGUGGCCACGUCGUCAAGAACAGGUUGAUCUACGGCAACACCUUCUACUCCCGUGCUCUGUUGCUUGCUACUCUUCACGUGGCCAGCGAUUUGGUCUUCUGCUUCUUUGGUCCACAAUCACGAUGGUUCACCGGAACAUGGCAAGCAGCUCUGGCAAGCAGGACGUGGCAAGAGCAGAGCGGCGGCCGUAACAUGGCAAGGGCAGCAUCUAUCUAGGCAUGGCCGACGGCGGCGGCUCUCAAGGGUUUUAAGGACGUAAACACUCUAGACGAAUAUGACGUGUAUAUAUACGUGCGGUCUAGAUCAAGUUUGAUUAGGGUUAGAACUUAUUAUUUUUGGAAUUAAUUAUUUUCAUGGAUAAAAUAAUUAUAGAAAAGUCCAGAAUUAUUAUUUAAACUAUGAAAAAUAUUCUAAAAGCUCUGAAAAUUCGGAGAAAAUUCUCAGAGACAUUAUGGAAUAUGAGGAACUCAAAUAACGUAUUUGGACCUCAUGAUAAGAUAAUUUGGAGCAUCUAAAAAUUAGAUUUAUGCUCAUAGAAAAGUGAGAAUAGAAGAUGGAAAAAUUCCCGAAAAGUUUGUAGAGAUUGCUUGAUGGACGAGGAACUAAAAGAAGUGCUUUGAGUGACAAAGAAAAGAUUUUAGGAAGCUCCUAAUAAAAAAUUGAGCUGAGAAACCAAAGAAUUUGGUUAUAGAUAAAGAUAAAGACGUACUGGUCAAGGAAGAUCUACUAAACGCAUUUUAAAACUUUGCUCACUCAACACAUAAAGGAGCAACAAGUCAACAUCACAUCAAAACAUAUGCACCAGCAUGUAUGCACAACAAUAUUGCUAAGGCUUAUGAUAAAUUUUAAUUUAAUGAAAAUUAUUAUUUUCCUUAUAUUUUCGUGAGCACAAAAUACAAAACUGAAUAAAUUUUCAUCUAUUUUGAAAAGAGCAAAAUUUAGGGUGUUACAGUUGUCAAAAUUUUUUAAAAUUCUCAAUCAAAUUAAAUCUUGGGACACAAUGUAUCAAAUAUUAAAUAUAGAUAAAAAUUAAUUAAUUAUAUAGUUUGUAUAUAAUUUGCGAGAUAAAUUUUGUAAACCUAGUUAAUCUAUAAUUAAACAAAAAUUAUUAAAUAUAAACGGUGCUAUAGUAACUAGAUCCAAAAAUUUUCACCAACUAAGGGCUUGUACAACGAUGGGCGCUUAUGAUCAGGUAUUGGCCGUUAAAUAGUUUUUUUGCCACACGGUGGAGUCCUGAGCGGGCGCUUAAAAAUAGAUUUGCCGCUCCGUAAAGCAUCGACGCCUAGACCGGCUCCUUGCUUGAUACUGGUGUUUGCAUGCGACGUAACGGUCACAACUUAAGCGCCUUCAAAUACGUGUUGUGUUGUAGAUUAAGGUUAUAAAGAGACGCUUAGUUACAAAAGUAUUUUCUCUUUCCAUCUAAGCGCCUUUUGCAUUGUACGUGCUCUAAACAAGGCCACAGAUACAGACAUACAGUGGUUAGCUGAGGCAGAGUGAAAUCAUUAGCAGCAAACAUAUAAUAAAUAGCAGCCGCCUAGCACGACUUAGCGCCACUUAAGUUUUGUUUAGUUACGCUCGAAAUCCAAAAACUUUUCAAGGUUCUCUUCACGUCGAAUUUAGAGACACAUACAUGUAGCACGACUUAGCGCCACUUAAGUUUUGUUUAGUUACACUCGAAAUCCAAAAACUUUUCAAAGUUCCCUUCACGUCGAAUUUAGAGACACAUACAUGAAGCAUUAAAUAUAAAUAAAAAAAUAACUAAUUACAUAAUUUAUCUGUAAUUUGAGAGACGAAGCUUUUGAGUCUAGUUAGUCUAUAGUUGAACAAUAAUUAUCAAAUAUAAAAAAAAAUGUUAUAGUACCAAAAAAAUCUUUUCACUCACGAACUAAAUAAAGGCCCUAAUCUCAUCAUCCGCCUCACUGUUUAAUCGAAUGUCCUUGAUGGCCACCCACAGGCUCACAAAACCUGAGACGGUGAGACCUUGCCUGGGGUAGUAUAUGGGGCCAAUGGCCAAUCCAUUUAUCAGUUUGCCCAAGGCAGGUGGUGGGCCACUCUGUUCAAUUUUGAGUCUAAUAUAUGCAAUAUCUUCUCUUUUGUGCAAUUUUUGUCCGUGGGUUCAAACAAUCCUGCCACCGUGUCACCGGUGGCUGAUCGUGUCAACCCUUCGCCGCAGUCCGCUCCACCACAGUACGGGGGGCCCAGUUGCAGUCUCUGCCACCGCAGUAGGGAUGUUGAACUUGUAAUAAUAAAUAUGUGAGUGCUUUUAAUAUAUAAUGCAUGUUGGUGAUAUAGAUGUGAUAAUUGGCGUGUGUGUAUAUAUAUUGUCUGUUACAAUGGAAUGUAAAAAAUAAAACAAAUACAAUUCUCGGGGUCUUCGCCGAGUGCGGUGCCAGGGUCACUUGGCAAAGCAAUUUAAAAAAACAAUUUUGCCGAGUGUCGGGGCCACGACCACUCGGCAAAGAAUUUUUCUUUAAAAAAGAAAAGACACUUUGCCGAGUGCUGAUGCUAGGGGCACUAGGCAAAGUAUUUUUAAAAAAAACAAAUAUGCGGAGUGCCGCGGCAAGGGACACUCAGCAAAUAUUUUUUUUUUAAAAAAAAAGAAAGAAAAUCUUUGUCGAGUGCCUGAGGCCAGAGGCACUUGGCAAAGCAAUUUUUUUUAAAAAAACUUUGCCGAGUGUUAAGGGGCCAGGGGCACACGGUAAAAUAUUUUUUAAAAAACAAAAACUUUGUCGAGUGUCGUGUCGGGCAACUCGGCAAAAUAACUGUUAACGGCAGAUGCUGUGACGGCCAAAAAUGUUGCCGAGUGCUGUCGUAAGCACUCAGUAAAAUGUUUUUAAUAUUUUGCUAAGUGCCUCGGUAAAAAGCACUCAGCAAAGUCUCUUUGUCGAAAAUUUUUUUGCCGAGCGAACUUUGCUGAGUGCUACGUUCGGCAAAGCCUUUGCCGAGUGCAAAGGGCUCUUUGUCGAAUGUAAAAACACUCGGCAAAGUCCUAAUUUCCAGUGGUGGGUGUGCUGGGACAAUUUAGAAAGCAAGCAACGAUUUCAUUUUGCGUUAGAUCACUCCCAUCCUCGAAGCCUCAGUUUUUUUUUUCAGAAAUAAGUUCCAGCUGUUGCUGCUGAGAACUAAAAGAAGCUUUUCACCCUUGAUUGAUCAAUGGAUUGGCUCUCUAGUUUAACAGGCUUCUUUGUUGUACUCUUUUUGCUCUUUUUUCCUUAGUUUUUUUGUUCCUUAGUUAAGACUCCACCCUACUGCCUCCUUAACUGUUGUGCUUUUUUUUUUGUAAAAGACCUUUUUUAUUAUAAUUUUUGCAUUGUUGUAGGGGUGCAAACCCCUCCAAUCUCCUUCAAAAAAUUCAAAAGUAAUAUAACCUUGCAGAACAAAGGACGGUAAUCCCACCAUUUUGCUAUGUGAGCCCACUCCUCUUAUUUUUUUUACUUUUAUUUUGAUUAUGCCCACUCCUGUUAAGCAGUCAUUUGUUCCAUUCCCUAAAUAUAUUUCUAUUUUUUAGAAUAUUCAAUAAGGCGUAUAUACAUUAUAUUUUAAGAAAUAAACUAUAUUCAAGACAAAUCUACCCACAUCAAUAUUACUUGUAUACAUUCAAAUAAACAUGUAGACAUAAUAAUUCGAUAGUUAAGGUUUCAAAAUGAUUGAAAUAAGACAACUUGAAAUAUGUCACAAUAAAAAAUUAUUUGUGGUCAAAGUUUCUGAAAUUAUUGACUUACGACAACGUACAUCCAAGUGUCACUUAAUUGCUUUGUGAGCAGAGGGAGUAUAUAUUUUGGCAAGUUACCCUCCAUCUAAAAAUAUAAAACACAUGUUUUUAGGACAGUAAGAUUUGACCAAUAGGUGCUUGUGCCAUUAAUAUGCAUAAAUCAUAGAUACUUUUGAAUACAAAUAUCUAGUUACAUCAAUUUGCUACCACAAAAUUGCAAGUAUCUUGGUUAAAGCCAUGUCUAACAAAACAUGAGCUUUGGGAUGGAUAUAUAUCAUAUUGGUGUGUACGUUUAGUAGUCUCUCUUCGUUUCAAUUUAUUAGAUGUUGUUUUGGCUUUUGUAGAUACAAAAAUUUUUUUAUGUAUCUAGAUAACGUUUAUUAUGAUAUAGAUAUAUCGUAUAUCUAUAUGCCUAAAAAACUGAAUAUCUAGAAAAACUAAAAUAACCUAUAAUUUAGGAUAGAGGGUGGUAAUAAUUAUACAUCUUCUGCUACCAAGUCCCUUAAUUACAGCACACAGCUCUGUUUUCUAGUUGCCUUGAUCGUUCAUCAGAUGAAUUAUGUAUUUGAAGAGUAGCGCGUGUGUGGUCAUGUCAUGAAAACGUGCUAGCUAGGUACUUGUUUUAAUUUCCACCGUGUGAGUAUUUUUUUUUUUCAAGUGGCGAGAGUUCAUUAAUUAAAUAAAACCAUUCAAUUUUUCAAAUCACAAUACGUUGUCUGCAAAUCCUCUGAGUCAGCCAGUUUUUCGUUACGUGCUAUACUCCGUCCAUUCUAAAUUAUGUUUUUUAAACUUUUUGGUAUAUUCAUUUUGCUACAUACUAAAAAAAUUAAAAAUAACUUAUAAUUUAGAACAGAAGAGGUAUAUAUAUAGUUGCAUAUAUGCUGACAAGUGUUUGGGGGAGAAUAGAGCAGUAACUCUCUUGACCAAGCGUUUGGGAGUCAUGGAACACAGUCACAUGGCGCAUGCAUGCGUAACAACAAUUUGGAAACAAAGAGAUGUGUGUGUGCAUGUAGCAGUGAUCGAACUAGUACAAACCACAGGAGCGAGAGGAAACGUACACGGACAUAAAUAAUAAACACCGCACAUAGUGCAUGCACUCAAAAAUAAACCCAACAAGCAAAAGUACAUCUCUCACACACACAUGUACACACGCACGUACGUACAUACGCUAAGAUGCAAGCGUAUCACAGCGUACACGACGACACGUACGUACAUACGGAGAGAUUUUUAUUCAGUAGUACGACGUAGCAGUAGUAGACAACUCAUCAUCUCAUCAUAUCAGGCGUAGAUAGAUACUCAUCCAUGGUCGAUGCUCCGGCGCCGAUCGACGACGACGGCGGCGGCGGCGGAAUGGAUCAUCGAUCGAUCGAUCAUCGUUUAGGUUUAGUUCACCCUGCAUGAUCAUGCAUGCAUGGAAGACGAAGCACAAGUUAAUUAAACGACUUGAUAUUCAAGUUGAAUCAGACCAUGCAUGCAUGCAAAGUUGCAAACAACUUGUAGUGAUUGGAUCAUUCAUUCAGAUCAUCACUUAAUUACCUGGAGCAGUCGGUGGAGGUGCUGAUGGUGUAGGGGACGCUGACGCCGCACUUGGAGGGGAUGCUGGCGGCGUUGCCGGCGUUGAGGCCGCUGAUGCCACGGGCGGCGUUCUUGAGGCAGUUGCAGGCGGCGCGCCUGUCG